GAUGAACGCUAGCGGCAGGCCUAACACAUGCAAGUCGAGGGGUAACUAGAGUGAUAGCAAUAUUACUUUGGCUAGACCGGCGCACGGGUGCGUAACACGUAUGCAACCUACCUUAUACUGGGGGAUAACUCCGAGAAAUCGGCGCUAAUACCCCAUACCAUUGCGAAGAGGCAUCUCUUUGCAAUUAAAGCUCCUGCGGUAUAAGAUGGGCAUGCGUCCAAUUAGCUAGUUGGUGAGGUAACGGCUCACCAAGGCUACGGUUGGUAGGGGUUCUGAGAGGAUGAUCCCCCACACGGGUACUGAGACACGGACCAGACUCCUACGGGAGGCAGCAGUGGGGAAUUUUGGACAAUGGGCGAAAGCCUGAUCCAGCAAUGCCGCGUGUGUGAAGAAGGCCUUCGGGUUGUAAAGCACUUUUGUCCGGAAAGAAAUGGCUCUGGUUAAUACCUGGGGUCGAUGACGGUACCGGAAGAAUAAGGACCGGCUAACUACGUGCCAGCCGCCGCGGUAAAAC
rnacentral:rRNA from 1 species